rnacentral:snRNA from 1 species
GUACUGACCUGUCAGGAGAGCACCAGGAAGGCAGUUUUCCCAGGGUGAUGCUCAUCCCUUGCCCUCGGGCUGUGCUGACCUCUGCACUUUCCCCAAAUGUGGCAACUCAGCUGCAUCACUGUGCUGUGACAGCGGUGCAAGAGCAUGCCUGUUU